CACGUAGGCACCAAGCGUUGUCCGGAUUUAUUGGGCGUAAAGAGCUCGUAGGCGGUUGAGUAAGUCGGGUGUGAAAACUACUGGGCCUUAACCCAGAGCCGGCCACUCGAUAACUGCUCUGACUUGAGUACGGUAGGGGAGCAGGGAAUUCCUAGUGUAGCGGUGAAAUGCGCAGAUAUUAGGAGGAACACCGGUGGCGAAGGCGCUGCUCUGGGCCGAAACUGACGCUGAGGAGCGAAAGCGUGGGGAGCAAACAGG
rnacentral:rRNA from 1 species